rnacentral:rRNA from 1 species
UACGUAGGGUCCGAGCGUUGUCCGGAAUUACUGGGCGUAAAGAGCUCGUAGGCGGUUUGUCGCGUCUGCUGUGAAAACCCGAGGCUCAACCUCGGGCCUGCAGUGGGUACGGGCAGACUAGAGUGCGGUAGGGGAGAUUGGAAUUCCUGGUGUAGCGGUGGAAUGCGCAGAUAUCAGGAGGAACACCGGUGGCGAAGGCGGCUAUCUGGACAGAAACUGACGCUGAGGCGCGAAAGCUAGGGGAGCAAACAGG